rnacentral:rRNA from 1 species
CGGUAAAACCAACCACCUCAAGUGGUCAGGAGGAUUAUUGGGCCUAAAGCAUCCGUAGCCGGCUCUGUAAGUUUUCGGUUAAAUCCAUGUGCUCAACGCAUGGGCUGCCGAAAAUACUGCAUAGCUAGGGAGUGGGAGAGGUAGACGGUACUCGGUAGGAAGGGGUAAAAUCCUUUGAUCUAUCGAUGACCACCUGUGGCGAAGGCGGUCUACCAGAACACGUUCGACGGUGAGGGAUGAAAGCUGGGGGAGCAAACCGGAUUAGAUACCCGGGUAGUCCCAGCUGUAAACGAUGCAGACUCGAUGAUGCAUUGGCAUAUAGCCAGUGCAGUGUCGCAGGGAAGCCGUUAAGUCUGCCGCCUGGGAAGUACGUACGCAAGUAUGAAACUUAAAGGAAUUGGCGGGGGAGCACCACAAGGGGUGAAGCCUGCGGUUCAAUUGGAGUCAACGCCAGAAAUCUUACCCGGAGAGACAGCAGAAUGAAGGUCAAGCUGAAGACUUUACCAGACAAGCUGAGAGGUGGUGCAUGGCCGUCGCCAGCUCGUGCCGUGAGAUGUCCUGUUAAGUCAGGUAACGAGCGAGAUCCUCGCCACUAGUUGCUAUCAUUAUUCUCAGGAAUAAUGGGGCGAAUUAGUGGGACUGCCGUUGUUAAAACGGAGGAAGGAGGGGGCUACGGCAGGUCAGUAUGCCCCGAAACUCUGGGGCCACACGCGGGCUGCAAUGGUAGCGACAAUGAGCUCCAAACUCGAAAGAGAGUGGCAAUCUCUAAACGCUACCACAGUUAUGACUGAGGGCUGUAACUCGCCCUCACGAAUAUGGAAUCCCUAGUAACCGCGUGUCAUUACCGCGCGGUGAAUACGUCCCUGCUCCUUGCACACACCGCCCGUCGUUUCAUCGAAGUUUGCUUUUAGCGAGGUGAUGUUUAAUGAC